AGGGGCAUCAGGAAGAAAGCUUGCUUUCUUUGCUGGCGACCGGCGCACGGGUGAGUAACACGUAUCCAACCUGCCCUUUACUCGGGGAUAGCCUUUCGAAAGAAAGAUUAAUACCCGAUGGCAUCAUGAGUCCACAUGUUCACAUGAUUAAAGGUAUUCCGGUAGACGAUGGGGAUGCGUCUGAUUAGCUUGUUGGCGGGGUAACGGCCCACCAAGGCAACGAUCAGUAGGGGUUCUGAGAGGAAGGUCCCCACAUUGGUACUGAGACACGGACCAAACUCC
rnacentral:rRNA from 1 species